rnacentral:rRNA from 1 species
GAUGAACGCUGGCGGCGUGCUUAACACAUGCAAGUCGAACGGCAAGGCCCUGCUUUCGUGGGGUGCCCGAGUGGCGAACGGGGGAGUAACACGUGUGUAACCUGCUCUUGACUUUGGGAUAACUUCAGGAAACUGGGGCUACUACCGUAUAGCAGACCCUCUAGCAUGGUGGGGGUUGGAACGUCUCGGCGGUCGUGGAUGGAUGCGCGGCUUACCAGUUUGCUGGUGGGGUAGUGGCUUACCAAGGCUUAGGCUGAUCGGCGGCCUGAGAGGGUGGCCGGCCACAUUGGUACUGAGAUACGGAGCAGACUCGUACAGUGGGCAGAAGUGGGAAAUAUUGCACAAUGAGCGGAAGCCUGUUACAGAAACGCCGCGUGCGUGAUGACGGCCUUUGGGUAAUAAAACGCUUUCGCUUAUGACGAAGCUGGUGUGACGGUAAUGAGUGAAGAAGCACCGGCUAACUACGUG